GUUAGGUCUUCCAUCGAUUUUUUACACUGUUUUUAGCGUUUUUAAAUAGUGUUAAUGCUAAUUUUAAACGUCCCAGAAAAAUCCAGAACGCCUGGAGCGCUAAGCGGAAUGACUGUUGGAUAAUGGAAAAUAAACAGGAAUCACUGCCAGCGUAUAGCAUAUGUUUAGAACCAACUGAUGGUUUACGCUUGGAUUUACGAAGUAAAUCCGCCGCUAACCGCGGAAUGGAUUUUCAUCUCAACGAUCAAUAUUAUCGACAUAUUGGAGAAGCCGAUACACAGAACCACAGUGCUGGCUGAUCAGCUGGUUAAAAACAGGUAGUUUACCGACGGACCAGGUGGAUCGAUUAGGAUCUGGCGGAACGAUUAGGAUCUUGCGGGACGAUCAGAACCUUGCGGGCCGAUUAGGACCAAGUUGUGCAACGAGAGAGUCGAAAAAGUGCUAUUGAGAAAAAUGGAUAUA